rnacentral:rRNA from 1 species
GAUGAACGCUGGCGGCGUGCUUAACACAUGCAAGUCGAACGGAAAGGCCAUGCGUUUGUGGGGUGCUCGAGUGGCGAACGGGUGAGUAACACGUGUGUAACCUGUCCUUGAAUUUGGGAUAACUUCAGGGAAAUGGGGCUAAUACCGGAUAGGAGCUCCUGCUGCAUGGUGGGGGAUGGAAAGUUUCGGCGGUGGGGGAUGGUCUCGCGGCUUAUCAGCUUGUUGGUGAGGUAGUUGCUUACCAAGGCUUUGACGGGUAGCCCGCCUGGGCGGGUGACCGGCCUCAUGAGUCCUGCGAGACGGCGCAGACGGCUACCGUAGGCAGCAGUCGGGAGUAUUGCGCAAUGGGCGGAAGCCUGAUGCAGCAGCGCCGCGUGCGGGAUAACCUCCUACUGGUUGUAAACCGCUGUGGCCGGUGACGAAGCGUGAGUGACGGUAAUGGGUAAAGAAGCACCGGCUAACUACGUG